CAGUCGCCGCGGGAAUACGAAGGGGGCUAGCGUUGUUCGGAUUAACUGGGCGUAAAGGGUGCGUAGGCGGGCUUUUAAGUCAGGGGUGAAAUCCCAAGGCUCAACCUUGGAACUGCCUUUGAUACUGGGAGUCUUGAGUCCGGGAGAGGUGAGUGGAACUGCGAGUGUAGAGGUGAAAUUCGUAGAUAUUCGCAAGAACACCAGUGGCGAAGGCGGCUCACUGGCCCGGUACUGACGCUGAGGAGCGAAAGCGUGGGGAGCGAACAGGAUUAGAUACCCGUGUAGUCCCUGUCUCUUAUAU
rnacentral:rRNA from 1 species